GGUGACCUCGGAUCAGGUAGGGA
rnacentral:rRNA from 1 species